GGAAAGUCUGAUCAAACACACUUCAUCCACUGUUAUAUGGAAAAUAUAUGGUACUUUAUUAACUCUUUAUUAAUACUUUAAAAUGAUGAUGAUUAUUAUUAUUAUUUUAGUGAGGUAGGCGAGGUAGGCCCUCCCAGUGACACAUCAAGGCCCCCGAAUGCCCUGACGCUGACCCUGCGAUUGUGUAUGUAGCCUCAGAACAUCUGUUUUCUGAAGCUAUGCCAUAUUGUAGUAGAGGGGAGCUACAGUAUGAGAAAGCCGGUGUUCAGGAUCAAACUGAUCAGGUGAUGGGCCCUCUGUGCUGAUCCUGAUCAAGUCUUCCAAGGUUGAAUUGCGUACCUUUGAUUUGAUCCUGUUUUGAGCUGAAAAUCCACAUUCACACUGAGCAGUCAAAAUUGGUAGGACAAGCAAUAUCUCAACUAGACGCAUUCUGCUCAAAACACAUGCUGUGUCGUUGUCAUAUGCCUUGCACACAUCCAGUCAAUUUUUCUUCAUUAGCAAUUAAAGUUACCAGUUUUGUUGUAUCUUGAUUAUGU
ensembl:lncRNA